rnacentral:lncRNA from 1 species
ACAAUUUAUGCUACAAAAUAAAACAUAUUAUAUAAUUGUGGGAGAAAAACAAAAAAAAACAUAGAAAAAAAAGAGAACAUAAUCAUAAUACUCGUAACGUGGAAACUCUAAAACCGGAGAAAAACAAUGGCCGUUGUCAAUAGAAAAUUAGAGAAUAACACUAUGUGAAAAUUGUUACAACACAUAAUAUACUAUCAAUUAAC